UCGGAUUGCAGUCUGCAACUCGAGUGCAUGAAGCUGGAAUCGCUAGUAAUCGCGGAUCAGAAUGCCGCGGUGAAUACGUUCCCGGGUCUUGUACACACCGCCCGUCACACCAUGGGAGUCGGGAAUGCCCGAAGCCGGUGGCCCAAUCGAAAGAAGGGAGCCGUCGAAGGCAGGCCGGAUGACUGGGGUGAAGUCGUAACAAGGUAAC
rnacentral:rRNA from 1 species